CCAGAUGACGCAUGAGGAGCUCGUUUGGGCUCUCAGCCACAGAUCUCUCACACAGGUGUGUAGGGAAUAGGAGUGGUAGUAUAUACGCUGGAGAUGGAAAUACCGUUACUUUUCAAUAACCUAUUACCAAUAUAACGUGGUUAGUUGGUAUUAUGUUCCAGUAAUCUGUUACCGUGGUAACAUGUUACCAAUCAACCCACGCUAGGUAUUAGCAUUAUGCUGUUACUGAAUUGACGUUAUUAAGCUUUUUUAGGAUAUAUGCGGUUUUCAUCUCCUCUGAGUGGCAAGACUGUCGAGUUCCCGGAUAUACAGUGAUGCCAGCUGCCAUCAGCGCUACUAUCUGAAAGCAGGUGCCGCUUUCCCAGAGAGCACGCUUCAAUCCAGCAUUGCGGACAUCUCGAUACUUGCUUCACCCACCCACCCGGAUCUCAUGUUCUUUAGAUCCUUUCAGCAAGUCCUCGUACAAUGUAUUUGCAUGUCUUGUACAAUUUAAGUACGAGCAUAUCUCACCUAAUAUUUCAUACUGAUUUCGACAUUAAACAUUGAAUAGUAAAGUGUUAGAAUCCUCAAUGCAUUUUUUAUUUCAGAAUCUUUAUUUCCAAAGUAUUUUUUCACUACUUUUGUUGUAUGUUUAAUAUAAUAAAAUAUAUGUAAACCAUCCUAAUAAAUCAGUUAUUCUUAAA